GUGGCUCAGUGGCAAAGUGCCCCUGGGUUUAAUUCCUAGUACUGUAUUUUAAGAAAAGUACACUAGAAGACAUGAAUGCAGUUAUCAAUAAUGUCAAAUAUAAAUGAAUUAAACAAUCCAGUCAAAUAGAAGAAAUUGUCAUACUGGAGGAAAAAAUGGCAUCCAACUAUAUACUGUCUAAAGGAAACCCAUUUUAGAUUCAGAGUUACAAAAAUUGUAAGUAAAGUGACAAAGAUGUGUUAUCAGCGACCAUUAGAAAGCUAGAAAGGCUGUACUAAUAUUAAAGUAGAUUUUAAAAAGUAUUUCUAGUGACAUAAAGAGGGACCUUUUAUAAUAAGAAUGUUCUUCAGGAAAGUGUCAUGAUAAUGUAUGCACCUAAUAAGAGCACCACAAUAUAUAUAAAGCAGCUGUUGGUGGAAUUUAAGGGAGAAAUACACAAUUUAACAUUUUUGUAGUGGAAUGGAAAUCUAAAUCUAUCAGCAAGAAAAGAGAAGAAUUGAACAACACUGAACCAACUAGAAUCAAGUGACAUCUUUUGAGCACUCAACGCCUUUAACAGUAAAAUACACAUUCUUUUCAAGAAUACACAGAAUUUUCUCCAUUAUAGCCAUGCUAGGCCAUGAAACCAAGAAAUUUGAAAAGAAUACAGUGAAAAAAAUAAAGUGCAUUAUUUGACCACAAUGGAAUGGAUUUAUAAAAUAGUGCCAAAAGGAAUUUGAGAAAUUGACAAAUGUGUAGAAAUUUACAGACUUAAAUCCCUAGGGGAAUUAGAGAAUACUAUGAGAUGAAUGAGGAUGAAGACACAAAAGACUCAGGGGUGCAAUGUGACAAUCCUUAGGAAAUUUACAGUGACAAAUGCCUACAUUACAAAAGAAGAAAAAUCUCAAAUUAAGACCUAUUUUUAACCUAUAAUUCAGAAAUAGGAGAGAAAACAUCCUUGACUCAGCAGCACAAAGAAAAAAAAUCAAAGAUUAGAACAAAACAAUAAAAUAGAAAAUAGGAAAAAUAAAGGAAACUUAAAGCUGUGUUUGAGAAAGAUCAACAAAAUAAACCUUUAGCUAUACUGAUCAAGAAAUCAUUAGGGAGAGUAGAUUUAAAUUACUAAAAUGAAAAAAUGAGAAGACGUUGCUACUGAUUUUCUAGUUCUUAGAAUUGUUGACAAAGGAAUA
rnacentral:lncRNA from 1 species